rnacentral:rRNA from 1 species
AGACAUGCAGUCGAGCGGUAACAGGGGGUGCUUGCACCCCGCUGACGAGCGGCGGACGGGUGAGUAAUGCUUAGGAAUCUGCCCAGUAGUGGGGGAUAGCCCGGGGAAACCCGGAUUAAUACCGCAUACGUCCUACGGGAGAAAGCAGGGGAUCUUCGGACCUUGCGCUACUGGAUGAGCCUAAGUCGGAUUAGCUAGUUGGUGGGGUAAAGGCCUACCAAGGCGACGAUCCGUAGCUGGUCUGAGAGGAUGAUCAGCCACAUCGGGACUGAAACACGGCCCGAACUCCUACGGGAGGCAGCAGUGGGGAAUAUUGGACAAUGGGGGCAACCCUGAUCCACCCAUGCCGCGUGUGUGAAGAAGGCUUUCGGGUUGUAAAGCACUUUCACCGAGGAGGAAGGCUCUAAAGUUAAUACCUUCCGGGAUUGACGUUACUCACAGAACAAACACCGGCUAGCUCCGUGCCCUGGAUGGCGGUGAUACGGAGGGUGCAACGGUUAAUCGCAAAUACUGCCCGUAGAGCGCGCGUAUGUGCUUAGGUAAGCGAGAUGUGAUGGCCCCGAACCUAGCGGGCGAACGGCCUUUGCGACUGUCUGACUGCAGUGUGUGAGAGGCUAGUG